AAUUUUUAAUGCAAUUAAUCUGUUCCUAUCCCAUGAUUACAUUUUGUGUUCUGAAAGAAACAUUUUGCUUGUUUUAGCUUGUAGAAUGUCAGACCAAGAGGAACUGUAUCACUGUGUGAUGGAGAGGACUGGGAACCUUCAAAAUUCUUGGACACUAGGAAAAAGCAAAGGUUGGCAUACAUGUCAAGAGAAUGUUCUCCAGCUGGGGCCUGCAGUACAGAGAAUUGUAUAUACCAGAGGACUCAUGGGACUCCAGGCAGAUUAUUAUGGUAAUAUUGGAGUCUGUUGUCCUCUCUCUCCCGCAGCUGGGCCGCCUCUCUCAUUGCUGUGCAGAUCAGACCUUGAAGAAUGACUGUGCUCAUUCUAACAUGAUUGAUGUCAGGCACAAGUUUAACCUCACUCUGACUUGAGCUGAUACCAGACUUAUGAUCUUUGCAAAAAGUUUGGACUAAUAGGUCCCUUGGCCAAGGUCAGAUUUGACUGUGCUGGUAUUGUCUACUAUACCAAGACUAUGGAAGCAGCACAUAAGACGGUCUCUGCAAUAUACCUCUGAGAGGAUACUUUCAGAGACUCCUGGGAGGAAGUGUGGAAUUAUCUCCAUUUUCUGGUUAUUAGCAGCAUUAAAUCAACUAUUACUGUUCAUAAGUAAGGGUAAAAGAAUGUGGUGUCUGCUUUGUUAGUAUAAUUCUAUUUUAAUUCCUUGUGUUGAAAUGGAAUUCUGGGGCAGAGAAGAAUGCAUCAGA